AGCCUAGUGCUGGGCGGUAUAUUGGUUCAUAAUGAAUACUGGUGGGGGUUUUUUUUAUGAUAUGAAUUUUUUUAUAUACCCCAAUACCGGUGAGUGUGUAGCGUAAACAUUGAAAACGCAGAGCGGUGGAACGUCGCGCCACGGCGCCAGACAUUGGGAAGGAGCUGUUUUGCAGUUGCACCAAACAAGCGGCAUGUGAGAGCACAGCCUGUGUUGAGUGUACGGAUGUCAUUGAGCGGUGAACAAAAUGGAUAAACACAGUGAAAGUUCAGAAAGUGAAGUUUCAGAACGAGUAAAUAAUGAAACUGAAGAACUUGUACUGAAAAGAGGAGCGGUGUCUGUUUUUUGGAAGUUCUUCAGCUUUUAAAAAAAUCAGACGCAGAUCAAACAACAUUCUGCAAAUGUUGUCGGGCUAAAGUUGUAGCCGCAGGAGGCAACACAAGCAAUUUGCUUCACCCCCUCAGCCACAAGCAUCUCCUGGAAUAUCAAGAAUGCAUGAAACUACGAUCUGCAUCCUCCACCACUCAUGCAUUCUGAUUCCUACACUUCAUCAAUACUAGUAUGGACAUUAAUGUUUUUCUACAAUAUUCACUCCUCAUGGCAGUAAAAUAUGUCAUUCCAAGCCAAUUUACUGCAGGUAUUAUUCUCUAAAUGAUUAGAAAAUAAGGUUAACACCCAGUCCUUCUUG